UGCAGUCGAACGGUAGCACAGAGAGCUUGCUCUCGGGUGACGAGUGGCGGACGGGUGAGUAAUGUCUGGGAAACUGCCUGAUGGAGGGGGAUAACUACUGGAAACGGUAGCUAAUACCGCAUAACGUCGCAAGACCAAAGAGGGGGACCUUCGGGCCUCUUGCCAUCAGAUGUGCCCAGAUGGGAUUAGCUAGUAGGUGGGGUAACGGCUCACCUAGGCGACGAUCCCUAGCUGGUCUGAGAGGAUGACCAGCCACACUGGAACUGAGACACGGUCCAGACUCCUACGGGAGGCAGCAGUGGGGAAUAUUGCACAAUGGGCGCAAGCCUGAUGCAGCCAUGCCGCGUGUAUGAAGAAGGCCUUCGGGUUGUAAAGUACUUUCAGCGGGGAGGAAGGUGUUGUGGUUAAUAACCGCAGCAAUUGACGUUACCCGCAGAAGAAGCACCGGCUAACUCCGUGCCAGCAGCCGCGGUAAUACGGAGGGUGCAAGCGUUAAUCGGAAUUACUGGGCGUAAAGCGCACGCAGGCGGUCUGUCAAGUCGGAUGUG
rnacentral:rRNA from 1 species